GGAAGGGCUGUGGCUCAGUUGGUUGAGUAUUUGCUUGGCUAGCAGAGAUCCCGGGUUCAAUCCCGAGCACCUCCA
rnacentral:tRNA from 1 species